GGCGCUAUGGUGUAGUGGCAGCACAUGGGAUUCUGAUACAAUAGGAAAUUCCCAUAACCCAGGUUCGAACCCUGGUAGUGCCU
rnacentral:tRNA from 1 species